rnacentral:rRNA from 1 species
GACGAACGCUGGCGGCGUGCUUAACACAUGCAAGUCGAACGGAAAGGCCUCUUUCGGGUGGUACUCGAGUGGCGAACUGGUGAGUAACACGUGAGUACCCUGCCCUUUACUUUGUGAUAACUUCAGGCAACUGGGGCUAAUACCUGUUACGAGCUCCUGCUGCCUGGUGGGGGUUGGAAAGUUUCGGCGGUUGGGGAUGGACUCGCGGCUUAUCCGCUUUUUGGUGGGGUAGUGGCUUACCAAGGCUUUGCCGGGUAGCCGGCCUGGGAGGGUGACCGGCCGCACUGGGACUGAGAGACGGCCCAGGCGGCGACGGGAGGCAGAAGGGGGGAAGAUUGCACAAUGGGUGGAGGCCUGAUGAAGCAAGGCCGUGUGCGGGAUGACGGCCUUCGGGGGGAAGACAGGUUGCGCUCAAGACGAAGCUUGGUGUGACGGUAGUGGAUAAAGAAGCACCGGCUAACUACGUG